CUACGGGCCGCUCCAGUGAGGAAUAUUGCACAAUGGGGGGAACCCUGAUGCAGCAACGCCGCGUGGAGGAUGACGCAUUUCGGUGUGUAAACUCCUUUUAUAUGUCAAGAAAAUGACGGUAGCAUAUGAAUAAGCACCGGCUAACUGCCGUGCCAGCAGCCGCGGUAAUACGGAGGGUGCAAGCGUUACUCGGAAUCACUGGGCGUAAAGGACGCGUAGGCGGGUUGGAAAGUCAGGUGUGAAAGCCUACAGCUUAACUGUAGAACUGCACUUGAAACUCUCAAUCUAGAGUAUGGGAGGGGCAGAUGGAAUUAGUGGUGUAGGGGUAAAAUCCGUAGAUAUCACUAGGAAUACCUAAAGCGAAGGCGAUCUGCUGGAACAUUACUGACGCUAAGGCGUGAAAGCGUGGGGAGCAAACAGGAUUAGAUACCCUUGUAAUC
rnacentral:rRNA from 1 species